CAAGAAACCAUUACCCCGGGACACAAGACCAGUAUUAUGACCUCCGGGUUACCACAGUUUACCUUCCCCAGGUUUCCCCAGGUACCCAUUAAUCGACCAGCCCGAAAGGGAGGAUGAACACUUGAGUAGACUGCACGCCGACUGCCCGGGUAUAGGGAUUCGAACCCAAGCCCAUAGAUUCGUAGCGAGACGCGUUAACCACUACGCCAGGGAGGUCAUGAAAUUGCUUAAGUCCCCCUAAAACGAUAACCCAUAUAUAGUUUCGUGAUGCUAAAACUCAUACCAAAUAUCAAAAAAAGUUUAAUAUAUAUAAUGCGAAGGUGAUGCGAGUCGUGCUUUUGAAUAUAGCGAGAAAAAAAGAAAAGAAAAAUAGCCCUUAAUCAAUGACCCAGUGAGUCGCCCCCAUAAACAGUCUCGGGAUAAUAAAAAAGGUACCAAAUAUCAAAAAGUUUUAUUAUAUACAAUGCGAAUUAAGGUGAUGCGAGACGUGCUGGUUGUGUAUAGCAAGAAAAAAGAAAAAAAAAACGUGAGUGCUUCAUACAACAAGAUAUAACGCUGGUAAUAAAUAGCGAAGCCUUUUAACGCUAAGCAAAGGAAGGAGGGGAAGACACGGUAACGGUACAGGAAGCGAUAGGAAGGACGGUCGCUAGGCACUGGGUAGGGAGGGACACACAGGAUUGUUCUUAUGUAUAUGUGUUCUUGAGUAUGUGUGCUUGUUCUUAUGUAUAAGUGUGAGUAAAUUUGAUGCUUUAAACUCUGAAGGAUCAGGUGGCAAGAUACGGUGUCCAGUACAGAUGUAGCUAACAGACGUGGAGUAGAGGACCUGGAAACAGUGCUCAGAAGGGAAAGACUCCGAUGGUUUGGACAUGUGAAGAGAGCAGGGGAGGAUACAGUGCUGGGAGUUUUGGAGAGACUGGAGGUAGAAGGAAGGAGACAAGUUGGUAGGCCUAGGAAAACGUGGAGAAGGUGUGUACAGGAAGACUUGACACUGAUGGGAUUGGAUGAGCAUCGGGCAGAAGACAGUAGAAUGGAGGAGAGCCAUAAAGCGUCUUAAGUAUGGGGGAUUAUCGUAUGUGUCUUAAGUAUGGGGGAUUAUUGUAUGUGUCUUAAGUAUGGGGGAUUACUGUAUGUGUCUUAAGUAUGUGGGAUUAUUGUAUGUGUCUUAAGUAUGUGGGAUUAUUGUAUGUGUCUUAAGUAUGUGGGAUUAUUGUAUGUGUCUUCUUAAGUAUGGGGGACUGUAUGUGUCUUAGUAUGGGGGAUUGCAUGUGUAUUCUUAAGUAUGGGUGACUUUUUAUGUAUGCUUAAUUUUGACAGUCUAAGCUUUAAUGAUACGGUGUUCUGGACCAUGUAGAGGAGAGGGAUAUUGUUCCAAGUGACCAUUUGCUUGUCGUUUUAUAUAGUAGGAUAAUUUAAGGGGUUUCCAAGUGACCAUUUGUUCUUUUUUAUAUAGUAGGAUAAUUUAAGGGUUUUUCAAGUGACCAUUUGUUCGUCUUUUAUAUAGUAGGAUAAUUUAAGGGGUUUUCAAGCGACCAUUUGUUCUUUUUUUAUAUAGUAGGAUAAUUUAAGGGGUUUUCAAGUGACCAUUUGUUCUUUUUUAUAUAGUAGGAUAAUUUAAGGGGUUUCCAAGUGACCAUAUUUUCGUCUUUUUUAUAUAGUAGGAUAAUUUAAGGGAUUUAGGGAAUGGUGUGAGUUUAAUUUAGGGGAACGUGAAUCCAAAGUAAAAAAAAGUAAUAAUGAUAAUAAUAAUAAUAAUAAUAAUUAGGAUAGGGAUAAGAAUAAUAAGCAUAGGUGAAUGAAAAGUAGCUAAUCGUUAUAUUGCAUCAUACGAUAUUUUAAGUCAACGUUUUCACCCAUAAGCUGCCGGAUAACUAUGUACAAAAAAUAAAUAAACGGGGAAAACUGAGACA